rnacentral:rRNA from 1 species
AGCAGCCGCGGUAAUUCCAGCUCCAAUAGCGUAUAUUAAAGUUGUUGCAGUUAAAAAGCUCGUAGUUGAAUUUCGGGAUCAGUACGUCGGUCGUGCCUUCGGUACGUACUGGUGUUACUGGUUUCUACCUUCUGAAGAACCGUCAUGUCAUUAAUUUGGUGUGGCGGGGAAUCAGGACUGUUACUUUGAAAAAAUUAGAGUGUUUAAAGCAGGCCCGCGCUUGAAUACAUUAGCAUGGAAUAAUGAAAUAGGACGUUCGAUCCUAUUUUGUUGGUUUCUAGGAUUGACGUAAUGAUUAAUAGGGAUAGUUGGGGGCAUUAGUAUUCAAUUGUCAGAGGUGAAAUUCUUGGAUUUAUUGAAGACUAACUACUGCGAAAGCAUUUGCCAAGGAUGUUUUCAUUAAUCAAGAACGAAAGUUAGGGGAUCGAAGACGAUCAGAUACCGUCGUAGUCUUAACCAUAAACUAUGCCGACUAGGGAUCGGAUGAUGUUAAUUUUUAAUGACUCAUUCGGCGCCUUAC